UGGUUUUGAAAAUGGCGGAAUUUAAAAAUAAGGAACGCUUAUAAUGUUUCUAUAACCUGUUAUAGUGAUGAAACAUUUUAGACAGUCUGUGCAUUAAGAUUACUGAAAAAAUCAGUGGAAAAUGGCUUGACCCAUCAUAUCGGCACAAGAAAGAAAAAAAAAAAAAAAAAAAACAAAAUAACAAAUACAAAUACAAAUAACAGGUCUAAGAUUAAGUGCAAUCACUGUAAGCUUGCUUUAUUCCAGCGGGUUAUCAAUUGUUUAUUCUGUUCCAAUAUGAAUUGUGAUAAUCGGUACGUAUAAAGUUAAUUGCUGGACUAAACCCAGACAGAAAACUCAAGCUAACCAAGAGCAUACGUUUUGCUGUAUGGGAUGUAUAUAAUACGUUGCAAUGUCAAGAGGGAAUGUAAACUUAAAUCCCUGUCUUCUAUACGGAAAGUGCUAAUCAUUUUGUAAAAUAAAGAAUUAUUGUGACAAUUUUGUGAGGGGCCGUAGGAAUUUUCCUCGGAGUUCGGUAUUUUUGCUGUUUUACUUUUUACCCGAGUAUUUUAUUUUGAUUUUGUAAGAAUAUAUUUACAUCUUUUUUCUUGAUUUAAGAAAAUUUGUUUAAGAAUUACAGGUUAAUUUUCAUAAGUAUAAGGCGUUGGAUCAACUCAAUUGAGGCGCACCAAAUGUUCAGGCGCGAAUGCAUAUAGUAUUUGGAGCACAAAAAUCCUUUCGUGUUAAAGGUGAAACGUCCUG
rnacentral:lncRNA from 1 species